rnacentral:SRP_RNA from 14 species
CUGAAAUCCAUGAGGGAAGCCAUUCAGCACAGUAGGAGC